ACAUGCAAGUCGAACGGCAGCACGGGAGCAAUCCUGGUGGCGAGUGGCGAACGGGUGAGUAAAGCAUCGGAACGUGCCCAGUCGUGGGGGAUAACGUAGCGAAAGCUACGCUAAUACCGCAUACGAUCUGUGGAUGAAAGCGGGGGACCGUAAGGCCUCGCGCGAUUGGAGCGGCCGAUGUCAGAUUAGGUAGUUGGUGAGGUAAAGGCUCACCAAGCCGACGAUCUGUAGCUGGUCUGAGAGGACGACCAGCCACACUGGGACUGAGACACGGCCCAGACUCCUACGGGAGGCAGCAGUGGGGAAUUUUGGACAAUGGGCGCAAGCCUGAUCCAGCAAUGCCGCGUGCAGGAUGAAGGCCUUCGGGUUGUAAACUGCUUUUGUACGGAGCGAAAAGGCUUCCACUAAUACUGGAGGCUCAUGACGGUACCGUAAGAAUAAGCACCGGCUAACUACGUGCCAGCAGCCGCGGUAAUACGUAGGGUGCAAGCGUUAAUCGGAAUUACUGGGCGUAAAGCGUGCGCAGGCGGUCUUGUAAGACAGGUGUGAAAUCCCCGGGCUUAACCUGGGAACUGCACUUGUGACUGCAAGGCUGGAGUACGGCAGAGGGGGAUGGAAUUCCGCGUGUAGCAGUGAAAUGCGUAGAUAUGCGGAGGAACACCGAUGGCGAAGGCAAUCCCCUGGGCCUGUACUGACGCUCAUGCACGAAAGCGUGGGGAGCAAACAGGAUUAAAUACCCUGGUAGUCCACGCCCUAAACGAUGUCAACUGGUUGUUGGGUCUUCACUGACUCAGUAACGAAGCUAACGCGUGAAG
rnacentral:rRNA from 1 species